GGCCCAGUGGUGUACUGGUAACGCAUCCUCUUGAUUUGUCAUUAUCAAGGAACUGAUUCAGAGGAAGCACCCCGUUCAAUUUGGGGCUGGGUCA